GACGAACCGUCCUAACGUUGUUCGGAAUCACUGGGCUUAAAGGGCGCGUAGGCGGAUGAGCAAGUCCGGAGUGAAAUCUUUCGGCUUAACCGGAAAAGUGCUUUGGAUACUGCUUGUCUUGAGGGAGGUAGGGGCAUGUGGAACUUCUGGUGGAGCGGUGAAAUGCGUUGAUAUCAGAAGGAACGCCGGUGGCGAAAGCGACGUGCUGGCCCUCUUCUGACGCUGAGGCGCGAAAGCUAGGGGAGCAAACGGG
rnacentral:rRNA from 1 species